CACAUGAGUACUUAUCAUCCCUGGGUGUCAGAGAAGGUUGGGCUAACAGCUCUGAAAGUAAGCAGCUUCAGUGACCUUGGUACUGGUGGUAUUUUUGGGGAAGGCAACACUGCAUUGUUUUACUGGGGGAACGGAGUUUUUGGUAUGAGUUGAGAAGUCAGAAUGCUUUCAGUGAAGGAAAAGGAAAAAGUUAAGGUUCCUUCAAGAAGACUAGUACUAGUAUACAGAAAGACAAGAAAUAAUGAGGAAAUAGUGAGGACAUCUGUUUAAUUGGACUUGGGAUUGCAUUCAAUAAAGGUGUGAAGAUGGCCAGGAUGAAUCUGGGGACUAUCCUUCAAGAGCCUGUGGAAUAUGUGGAACUGUGGAACAGCUCUGGGCUGUUCCUCUCCUUGACAGCAUUGCUCCCGCACAGGGGUCACAGCCUUCAUUUUGCAGGUGCAUAUGGACACAGGAAGCAUUACCUCAUCGCUCCGGUUUGGCAUUGGAUGGGCAGAAGCAGAGGAGGAGCUGGGAAAACUGACAUCCUAGACAGACAAAAAAAGUUGGACUGGGUAAAAAAAGUUGGAUUCUGCCAGCUUCUUGCUGUGGUCUGUUAACAGCUGCCUAGGCACAGGACUCUUCUCCUGCAAGUCCUCUGCAGAUACAGAACCAAUGGUUCUGUGUGCUAAAUGCCUGGAGCAGUUAUUUUCAUACUUUGUCCAUGUCUAUGUUCAAUUAAACCUGCAUCUCGUUAUACUGCUACCUACUGUGUUCUUUUCACAUAUUGGCCAAAAUCUGCUCUUCAAAUCUCCUGAUUAAGGAAGUUUGCAUGAAAACAACUGGUGAAUGCAGUUCUUCCCUUUUUGGACUGAGGUCAGGGCUCAGGAGGUAUUUCUGCUGCGCCUUGAAACCCUAGUGCACGCUCCCGGAUUGAUAAUAAGUAUGCUGAACACCACCAGACCAAGUUCAUCUGCUGCCGAGGAGAGGAGCUGCAC
rnacentral:lncRNA from 1 species